GUGACGAAGCGACGCCGCGUGGGUGAGGAAGGCCUUCGGGUUGUAAAGCCCUGUCAGGGGUUAAGAAAUGUAGGUGUGCUAAUAUCAUGCCUAUUUGACAAAGGCCCCAAAGGAAGCCACGGCUAACUCUGUGCCAGCAGCCGCGGUAAUACAGAGGUGGCGAGCGUUGUUCGGAAUUAUUGGGCGUAAAGAGCACGUAGGUGGGUUUGUAAGUCAGAUGUGAAAGCCUUCUGUUCAACGGAAGAAUUGCAUCUGAAACUGCAGAUCUUGAGUGUAGGAGGGGAGAAUGGAACUUCUGGUGGAGCGGUGAAAUGCGUAGAUAUCAGAAGGAACGCCGGCGGCGAAAGCGAUUCUCUGGCCUAUUACUGACACUGAGUGUGCGAAAGUUAGGGGAGCAAACGGGAUUAGAUACCCCGGUAGUCCUAACUGUAAACGAU
rnacentral:rRNA from 1 species